AUGACCAUAUUCUGUUGAAACACCGGUUCCCGUACGAUCACCAAAGUUAAGCAACGUCGAACCUGGUCAGUAUCUAGAUAAGUGACCGUUUGUGAAUACCAGGUGUUGUAAG